AAACUGGAAUUUUCUGUGGUACUAUGUGGUGUCACGGACUCAGUCAAAGGAGGUGGAAUUUAUCAAAGUAUAAUAGAUCAAUUUUCUACAAGUACCUCAUAAAAACAUUUCCCCAAGUAAGAUGGAGGAUAGUGACUUUUUGGAGAAACAGAAUGGCUUGAUAGACCUCCACCUAGAGAACUACUACUUCCAAAAUGAAAUGAUACGGCUGUAUGGGAAGCUAAUAACCAAAAGAUCAUGUGAACGUUUCAUCUACAACAUGAGAUGGGGCUAGAUGGGAGUAAGAUUGUCAGGGGCUAACUCUCCACGUUCUAGGAACUCAUCACUGUCUUGUUUCCACCACUGUGAUCCCAAGGUUUCUUGCAUCUGAAUAAAAUUGGGUCAAGUUCAGCUCGUCUGGACUAUAUGCCAAGAAAAGGUUGGCCAGCAUGGAAUACAGGAGCUUCCGGUGACUUUUUUGCAUUUUUAUGGCCACUAUUUGCAUUUCUUUUCCCCUGACAAACCCAUUGGUCAGAAUUGAGAAAACUAUCCUUGACGAACUGCUUUUUUAAAAGGAUGCAUUGCCCUUAAUCUAGCAGCUAAGCAGGGGUUUUGAAUAGGUGAAUCAGAUUCUGAGAGAAGACAGUUACAUUUCUGGGAUGAUACACACCUUCAAAGUAUUAUAGCAUUGGAUGUCUGCUGCCCAUUAAAUUUCCCCAGCCAAUGCUAAUUGCCACAAA
rnacentral:lncRNA from 1 species